UGGCGGACGGGUGAGUAACACGUGAGCAACCUGCCUUCGAGAGGGGAAUAACGGCUGGAAACGGUCGCUAAUACCGCAUAACAUACCGGGAGGACAUCCUGCUGGUAUCAAAGAUUUAUCGCUCGAAGAUGGGCUCGCGUCCGAUUAGGUAGUUGGUGAGGUAACGGCUCACCAAGCCGACGAUCGGUAGCCGGACUGAGAGGUUGAACGGCCACAUUGGGACUGAGACACGGCCCAGACUCCUACGGAAGGCAGCAG
rnacentral:rRNA from 1 species